UUGGCAUUUUUCCGUUGCUUUGGUUGGUAUAGUGCACAAUUUUUGGCCGGAGACGGAUAAUCAACCCCCCACCGCCACCGUACGACUGGAUUUAUCAACCCAUCUCCGAGCAGAAAAUAUAGAUUUUUCAUCAAUAUGGCUUCACUAAUGGUGUAAUUUUGGUUUGUUAUCGAUCAUCUAGCUAUGUAUUACUCAUUUGAUAUGUUUCUAGCAGCUUUGCAGAAGCAGAGUUUCAUUAUGUUCCAUUGCUUUCCGAGUUUGGUCCUGACUCUCGAAAUUCGAACGGUGCCACAAAAUUAAGAAGAGUUCAUGGCAGACAUUGGGCACACGUUUGAUGAUGAUGAUCUCAAGCAACCUUAUUACAACAUGUUUUCUCUGAUGGGGACUGGGUUCUUUGGUUCUGUUGGUUGCAUUAUAAACUUCGGUUAAAUCUUUGCCGCAGAUUCAAGCCUUGCUUACCAAUGGAAGUUGAGACACAUAUGUCUUUCAGAACUGCUGAAAAAAUCAGCAUUUUGGUGGUGGAUGAUGAUGCCACUUUUCUUCCGGUUGUUGCUGGGCUACUCAAGAAAUGCAACUACCAAGUUGUGACUGUCAAAUAUCCCAUAGAUGCUUUGUCUAAACUUAAGAUCAAAGGCGACUCUUUUGAUCUCGUUGUCACUGAUGUGCACAAGUCUGAUAUGAAUGGAUUUGAACUUCAACAAGUGAUAACCCAAGCAUUUGAAAUACCUGUUUUAUCGAUGUCAGUUGACGACAAGGAAGGUACAAUCUUGAAAGGACUAAACGGUGUAUCAGUCGACGAUCAAAGAGGUCAAGGGCUGUGCACAGCGUUGCAAGUGAAGAGAGGUAAAAAACCUGUCCCUGGGAAAUCUGCAAUGAAACUGGGGAAACAGGGCAAAGAUAACAGUGUCAAUUUUGUUCUACCAACAAAGUCUCAGAUUAUAUGGACAGAGUCACUUCACAACGCAUUCCUGGAAGCCAUUAGAAACAUUGGGUUUGACAAAGCUGUGCCAAAGAAGAUUCAUGAACACAUGAAAGUCCCUGGAUUAACAAGAGAAAAUGUCGCCAGUCAUUGGCAGAAAUAUCGUAUUUACUUGCGCCGAGUUACUGAUGCAAGCUCUAGUAUCCAAGUUCCUGACAUAAACUUAGCUAGUAGGGCUAAUCAAUCGACCAUUGCAUCUGGAACGCUUGGUAAACAUAGGCAAUUUCAUCAAAAGAAUUUUGGAGUGCAGUGUAGUGUCCCCAGCUUAUUGAUUCACACUACAGUUUAUCGGACAGGCAGUCUGCAACAUCUUAAGAAUAAGAAAGAAGUUGAUGUUGUGCUCAAUCCAGUUCGUAACUUUUCUGUCUUUCACAAUGUUAGUGCUAUGCAAGGAUCACAAGGCAUUGGUGAUCUUAGUGCUUCUUCCAUGAAUCAAGGGAAUGAUCAACCUCAUCAGCAAAACAAUGAAGAUGAGGCUCAUGUCAACUUUGAUGGUGGUUUUAAUCAGGACAUGGAGAAGGGAGGACUAUUUGCAAUGAUUUAAUCAAAUACCAUUCAAGGCUAUGCUGACCCAAGGUUGAUGGGGAGUUUGGCCAGACCUACUACUCAGCAACCUAAGGAGGGUGAUUUUUUUUUUUGGAUUUGGUGCGUACUUCAAGUUUCCCACAAAGGUAGGGUAAAAGUCUGCGUACAUCUUACCCUUCCAGGCUUCACUUGUGGGAUUGCGCUUGAUAUGGUGCUGUUUUUGUUGUUGGCGUGUUCUUCAAGUCCUUUUGAAGAUGAGUAAAACACAUUUAGUUCAAUAGUUGAAAUAUUUAAGUGACAGUUUAAUAGCAACAAAAACUGUUGGUGCUAGAGACAAAUCAAUGUUUUACUUGAUGUACUUCUUUUUAUGGUACUUUUGGGAUUAUGA